UAAUUGGCAAAACCGGUGAAAGUCGGCGACGCAAAGCUACAGGGUCUACCUCCAAUCAAUGGACAAGACAGCCUAGCUAC
rnacentral:ncRNA from 1 species